GCAAAUACAUACAAAAGGGGAAACAAGUGGUUUUGGGUUUAGAUUCAAUGUCAUUAUUCUUUUCAUUGUGUUUUUUCAUUUUAUUUCUUUUCAAUUGCUUAGUUUUUCUUUGAUAUUCACUUUUUUUUCAACUGAGUACUCUUCCUUUGGCGAGUGCUUCAUUUGACCCAUUGACUGCAUUUCGUUUUUCUUUUAUGGUUUUUUUCCGUACUUACCUUGGUUUUUGAUACUUAUGGGGUUUAC
rnacentral:lncRNA from 1 species